rnacentral:tRNA from 1 species
GGCGGCAUAGCCAAGUGGUAAGGCAGGGGUCUGCAAAACCUCUACGCCCCGGUUCAAAUCCGGGUGCCGCCUCCA